rnacentral:rRNA from 1 species
CCUACGGGUGGCAGCAGUGGGGAAUAUUGGACAAUGGGGGGAACCCUGAUCCAGCCAUGCCGCGUGUGUGAAGAAGGCCCUCGGGUUGUAAAGCACUUUCAGUGAGGAAGAACGCCUGGUGGUUAAUACCCAUCAGGAAAGACAUCACUCACAGAAGAAGCACCGGCUAACUCCGUGCCAGCAGCCGCGGUAAUACGGAGGGUGCGAGCGUUAAUCGGAAUUACUGGGCGUAAAGCGCGCGUAGGUGGCUUGAUAAGCCGGUUGUGAAAGCCCCGGGCUCAACCUGGGAACGGCAUCCGGAACUGUCAAGCUAGAGUGCAGGAGAGGAAUGUAGAAUUCCCGGUGUAGCGGUGAAAUGCGUAGAGAGCGGGAGGAAUACCGGUGGCGAAGGCGGCCUUCUGGACUGACACUGACACUGAGGUGCGAAAGCGUGGGUAGCAAACAGGAUUAGAUACCCGAGUAGUC